rnacentral:rRNA from 1 species
UACGUAGGGGGCAAGCGUUGUCCGGAUUUAUUGGGCGUAAAGAGCGUGUAGGCGGUCAGGUAGGUCCGUUGUGAAAACUCGAGGCUUAACCUCGAGCUGUCGGCGGAAACCAUCUGGCUAGAGUCCGGAAGAGGAGAAUGGAAUUCCCGGUGUAGCGGUGAAAUGCGCAGAUAUCGGGAAGAACACCCGUGGCGAAGGCGGUUCUCUGGGACGGUACUGACGCUGAGGUGCGAAAGCGUGGGGAGCAAACAGG